rnacentral:tRNA from 1 species
UCUCCUAUGGCGCAAUCGGUGGCGCGUCUGACUGUUAAUCAGAAGGUUGUUAGUUCGAUCCUAACUGGGAGAG